rnacentral:piRNA from 1 species
AUGGCAACUAAUCAGUUAAUACAAGAU